GAUGAACGCUGGCGGCGUGCCUAAUACAUGCAAGUCGAGCGAACAGACGAGGAGCUUGCUCCUCUGAUGUUAGCGGCGGACGGGUGAGUAACACGUGGAUAACCUACCUAUAAGACUGGGAUAACUUCGGGAAACCGGAGCUAAUACCGGAUAAUAUAUUGAACCGCAUGGUUCAAUAGUGAAAGACGGUUUUGCUGUCACUUAUAGAUGGAUCCGCGCCGCAUUAGCUAGUUGGUAAGGUAACGGCUUACCAAGGCAACGAUGCGUAGCCGACCUGAGAGGGUGAUCGGCCACACUGGAACUGAGACACGGUCCAGACUCCUACGGGAGGCAGCAGUAGGGAAUCUUCCGCAAUGGGCGAAAGCUUGACGGAGCAACGCCGCGUGAGUGAUGAAGGUCUUCGGAUCGUAAAACUCUGUUAUUAGGGAAGAACGAAUGUGUAAGUAACUAUGCACGUCUUGACGGUACCUAAUCAGAAAGCCACGGCUAACUACGUG
rnacentral:rRNA from 1 species